rnacentral:tRNA from 1 species
AGGGGUGUGGCGUAAAGGUAAAGCGGUCGGGAGCAAGUUUCUCGGCGAUUGUGAGUUCAAUUCUCACCACCCCUA